UUGUUUUAAAACAUAUGAGCUACGUACAUUUUUGGGAGUAGUAUUGAGCACCGAUAUGGGGAUGCGAGUUCAUAUUAACUCAACUCUCCAUAAACCAUGUAGCCAUCAUGGGUAUUAAUGGGUCAUGCUUUUUAGAUAAUCACAUAAAUUAAGCUAGUGGAUCCACUAAGUUAAGCGUUCUAUAUGACGGCAAAGUAUAGGACAGUUCUGGCAGCAUAGGCAAGACGUUGUAUCACCACUUAGGUUCAUAGUGGUGGUUGUCGGUUAGAGAAUCUCCCACAAAAACUACAUUAUUUUAUUAGAUGAGUAAAGUUGAGUUUGUUACU
rnacentral:lncRNA from 1 species